AGUCGUAACAAGGUUUCCGUAGGUGAACCUGCGGAAGGAUCAUUACAGUAUUCUUUUUGCCAGCGCUUAAUUGCGCGGCGAAAAAACCUUACACACAGUGUUUUUUGUUAUUACAAGAACUUUUGCUUUGGUCUGGACUAGAAAUAGUUUGGGCCAGAGGUUUACUGAACUAAACUUCAAUAUUUAUAUUGAAUUGUUACUUAUUUAAUUGUCAAUUUGUUGAUUAAAUUCAAAAAAUCUUCAAAACUUUCAACAACGGAUCUCUUGGUUCUCGCAUCGAUGAAGAACGCAGCGAAAUGCGAUAAGUAAUAUGAAUUGCAGAUUUUCGUGAAUCAUCGAAUCUUUGAACGCACAUUGCGCCCUCUGGUAUUCCAGAGGGCAUGCCUGUUUGAGCGUCAUUUCUCUCUCAAACCUUCGGGUUUGGUAUUGAGUGAUACUCUUAGUCGAACUAGGCGUUUGCUUGAAAUGUAUUGGCAUGAGUGGUACUGGAUAGUGCUAUAUGACUUUCAAUGUAUUAGGUUUAUCCAACUCGUUGAAUAGUUUAAUGGUAUAUUUCUCGGUAUUCUAGGCUCGGCCUUACAAUAUAACAAACAAGUUUGACCUCAAAUCAGGUAGGACUACCCGCUGAACUUAAGCAUAUCAAUAAAGUCG
rnacentral:rRNA from 1 species